GGUUCGAUUAUGGCUCAGAUUAACGCUGGCGGGAUGCUUUACACAUGCAAGUCGAACGGCAGCACGGACUUCGGUCUGGUGGCGAGUGGCGAACGGGUGAGUAAUGUAUCGGAACGUGCCUAGUAGCGGGGAUAAUCACGCCGAAAGCGUAGCUAAUGUCGCAUACGGGCCCUUCGGGGGAAAGCGGGGACCUUCGGGCCCCGCACUAUUAGAGCGGCCGAUAUCGGAUUAGCUAGUUGGUGGGUAACGGCUCACCAAGGGACGAUCCUGUGGCUGGUUUGAGAGGACGACCAGCCACACUGGGACUGAGACACGGCCCAGACUCCUACGGGAGGCAGCAGUGGGGAAUUUUGGACAACGGGGGAAACCCUGAUCCAGCCAUCCCGCGUGUGCGAUGAAGGCCUUCGGGUUGUAAAGCACUUUUGGCAGGGAGCAAGUGCACGGAUAAUACCCGUGCAACUGACGGUACCUGCAGAAUAAGCACCGGCUAACUACGUGCCAGCAGCCGCGGUAAUACGUGGUGGGUGCAAGCGUUAAUCGGAAUUACUGGGCGUAAAGCGCGCAGGCGGUUCGGAAAGAAAAUACGUGAAAUCCCAGAGCUUAACUUUGGAACCAGCCACGAACCCAAUGAGCUGAGUGGGAGUGUGUCAGAGGGAGGUGGAAUUCCGCAGUGUAGUUGCGAAUGCGUAGAUAUGCGGAGGAACACCGACGGCGAAGGCAGUCCUCCCUAACACUGAUCAUGCACGAAAGCAAAAGGGGAGCAAACAGGAUUAGAUACCCUGGUAGUCCACGCCCUAAACGAUGUCAACUAGCUGUUGUAAGCCUUCUUCGCCUUGCAGCGCAGCUUAACGCGUGAAGUUGACCGCCUGGGGAGUACGGCUCAAAGAUUAAACCCAAAGGAAUUGACGGGGACCCGCACAAGCGGUGGAUGAUGUGGAUUAAUCUGGAUGCAACGCGAAAAACCUUACCUACCCUUACAUGUCUGGAACCUGAAGAGAUUUGGGAGUGCUCGCAAGAGAAAACUGGAACACAGGUGCUGCAUGGCUGUCGUCAGCUCGUGUCGAGAUUAAAGCUGGGUUAAGUCCCGCAAACGAGCGCAACCCUUGUCAUUAUUGCUACGAAAGGGCACUCUAAUGAGACUGCCGGUGACAAACCGGAGGAAGGUGGGAUGACGUCAAGUCCUCAUGGCCCUGCGUGUAGGGCUUCACACGUCACAAUAAUGGUCGGGACAGAGGGUCGCCAACCCGCGAGGAGCCAAUCCCAGAAACCCGAUCGUAGUCCGGAUCGCAGUCUGCAACUCGACUGCGUGAAGUCGGAAUCGCUUGUUGUAAUCGCGGAUCAGCAUGUCGCGCAACAUGUUCCUGGCCGGUACACAACCGCCUGUCACACCAUGGAGGUUUUACCAGAAGUAGUUAGCCUAACCGUAAGGAGGAAGUGAUUACCACGGUAGGAUCUAUGACUGGGUGAAGCUGCAAUACAGUAACUCUGUUACUACUACCUU
rnacentral:rRNA from 1 species